UACGUAGGGUGCAAGCGUUGUCCGGAAUUAUUGGGCGUAAAGAGCUCGUAGGCGGUCUGUCGCGUCUGGUGUGAAAACUCAGGGCUUAACCCUGAGCUUGCAUCGGGUACGGGCAGACUAGAGUGCGGUAGGGGAGACUGGAAUUCCUGGUGUAGCGGUGAAAUGCGCAGAUAUCAGGAGGAACACCGGUGGCGAAGGCGGGUCUCUGGGCAGUAACUGACGCUGAGGAGCGAAAGCGUGGGGAGCGAACAGG
rnacentral:rRNA from 1 species